rnacentral:rRNA from 1 species
UCUGGUUGAUCCUGCCAGUAGUCAUACAUUUGUCUUAAAGAUUAAGCCAUGCAUGUCUCAGCUCUUUGAUUGGUAAACAGUAGAUUGCGAAUGGUUCAGUAUAACAGUUACGAUAUGUUUGAAAUUUAGUUUAUGUGGAUAACUGUGGGAACUCUUCAGCUAAUACGUGAUACACAGUAUAUAAAUAUAUAUAUAUAGAAUAUGUUUAUAGCUGUUAUUUAAUAUCAAAUUAUAAUGUACUUACACUAUAGUCGAUUCAUAAUUAUUACGAACAGAUUACUUCACAAGUAGCAAUUCAUUUAAGUUUCUGACCUAUCAGUUAAUUAAUUGCAUCUUGAGCAUUUGAGGCAUUAACGGGUAACAGGGAAUUAGGGUUCUAUUCCGGAGAGGGAGUCUGAGAAAUAGCUACCACAUCUAAGGAAGGCAGCAGGCGCGUAAAUUACCCAAUUACGAUUAGUAGAGGUAGUGACAAGAAAUCACAAUAUUAUGCCUUAUGGCUAUAAUUGUAUUGACAUAAAUAUAGAUAUUAUAUCUAUAAGCUAGUGGAGGGCAAGUCUGGUGCCAGCAGCCGCGGUAAUUCCAGCUCCGAUAGUUUAUGCUAACAAUGUUGCAAUUAAAACGCUCAUAGUCAAACUUUUCAGAUAUUCAAUUUUAUGUAGUCUUAAUGAAAUAUAAAUAAGUCGUUUUAUAUUAAUAUAUAACUUAUUUUGUUGAAAUUAAUUUUUCGAUAGUUAUUUAAGUUUGUUUUACUUUAAAAAAAUAAUAGUGUUCCAAACAGUCGUUUGUUAUUAUUAUAAAAUAUGGAAUGAUAAAUAAUGAUGGUGGCUCAAUGUAUGAUUUGAAAUGUUGGUGUAAUGAUAUUUAGAGUGUUUUGGGGGGAUAAGUAUUUUGUCGUUAGAAGUGAAAUUCUUGGAUUGAUAAAAGACUAACAACAGCAAAAGCAUUCAUCUAGAAGCUAUUCCUUGAUCAAGAACGUAAGUUGUGGGAUCGAAGACGAUCAGAUACCGUCGUAGUCUCAACUAUAAACAAUAUCGAUCAGGAAUUAGCGAAUGUUUAUAUAACAUUGUUAGAACCUUAAGAGAAAUCAAAGUGUUUGGAUUCCGGGGGGAGUAUGGUUGCAAGGCUGAAACUUAAAGGAAUUGACGGAAGGGCACCACAAGAUGUGUAUUCUGUGGCUUAAUUUGACUCAACACAGGAAAUCUUAUCAGGUCCAGACAUUGAAAUUAUUGACAGAUUGACAGCUCUUUCUUGGUUCAGUGGAUGGUGGUGCAUGGCCGUUCUUAGUUGGUGGAGUGAUUUGUCUGGUUAAUUCCGUUAACGAACGAGACGAUCGAUUGUUAAUUCGCGUAAUAAUUGAAUUAAUGAUUUUGCUUCUUUGAGAAACUAGAUUUGCAUAAAAAGCCGGAAGUUGGUAGCAAUAACAGGUCUGUGAUGCCCUUAGACGUUCUGUGUAGCGCACGGGCUACAAUAGGAGAAUUACUAUGCUUACUAUCUUAACUCUAAAAGAGCUGAGAAAUCAUGAAACUUACUUUUAGUUGGGCUUACAUAUUGAAAUUCUUAUGUAUUAACCAGGAAUAUCUAGUAAAUUUAGGUCAUUAACGUUCUUUGAAUGCGUCCCUGCCUUUUGUACACACCGCCCGUCGCUCCUACCGAUUGGAUAAGAUAGUGAUUAGAUUGGAUUAAAAGUGAACUUCCUAAAAGAUAUCAAUACGAUUAGAAAUUUGUAAACUAGAUUAUUUAGAGGAAGGAGAAGUC